AUUGAACGCUGGCGGCAGGCCUAACACAUGCAAGUCGAACGCGUGGCGGACGGGAGAGCAAUGUCUGGGAAACUGCAUGAUGGAGGGGGAUAACUACUGGAAACGUUAGCUAAUACCGCAUACCAUCAGACGUGCCCAGAUGGGAUUGGUUAGUUGGUGGGGUAAAGGCUCACCAAGGCGACGAUCCGUAUCUGGUCUGAGAGGAUGACCAGCCACACUGGAACUGAGACACGGUCCAGACUCCUACGGGAGGCAGCAGUGGGGAAUAUUGCACAAUGGGCGCAAGCCUGAUGCAGCCAUGCCGCGUGUAUGAAGAAGGCCUUCGGGUUGUAAAGUACUUUCAGCGGGGAGGCGUUACCCACAGAAGAAGCACCGGCUAACUCCGUGCCAGCAGCCGCGGUAAUUC
rnacentral:rRNA from 1 species